rnacentral:rRNA from 1 species
AGCAGCCGCGGUAAUACGUAGGGUGCAAGCGUUAAUCGGAAUUACUGGGCGUAAAGCGUGCGCAGGCGGUUUUUUAAGACAGGUGUGAAAAUCCCCGGGCUUAACCUGGGAAUGGCAUUUGUGACUGGAAGGCUAGAGUGUGUCAGAGGGGGGUAGAAUUCCACGUGUAGCAGUGAAAUGCGUAGAGAUGUGGAGGAAUACCGAUGGCGAAGGCAGCCCCCUGGGAUAACACUGACGCUCAUGCACGAAAGCGUGGGGAGCAAACAGGAUUAGAUACCCUGGUAGUCCACGCCCUAAACGAUGUCUACUAGUUGUCGGGUCUUAAUUGACUUGGUAACGCAGCUAACGCGUGAAGUAGACCGCCUGGGGAGUACGGUCGCAAGAUUAAAACUCAAAGGAAUUGACGGGGACCCGCACAAGCGGUGGAUGAUGUGGAUUAAUUCGAUGCAACGCGAAAAACCUUACCUACCCUUGACAUGGCUGGAAUCCUUGAGAGAUCAGGGAGUGCUUGAAAGAGAACCAGUACACAGGUGCUGCAUGGCUGUCGUCAGCUCGUG